rnacentral:rRNA from 1 species
GAUGAACGCUGGCGGCGUGCCUAAUACAUGCAAGUCAACCAAAAGGCCGGGAGUCUGCCUCCUUGAACUUAGAGGGGGAACGGGUAAUAAAAACUAAGUUACCCUACCUUUAGAACGGGUAAAACUUCGGGAAACCGAACCUAUACCCGAAUAAUUUUUCAACCGCCUUGUUUGGUUAGGAAAGGUGGCCUUUCCUACCCCUAAAGAAUGACCCUGCGCGGUUUGAGCUAGUUGUUAAGGUAACGGCUUACCAAGGCAAGGAUACGUAGCCGACCGGAGAGGGUGAUCGGCCACACUGGAACUGAGACACGGUCCAGACUCCUACGGGCGGCAGCAGUAGGGAAUCUUCCGCAAUGGGCGAAAGCCUGACGGAGCAACGCCGCGUGAGUGAUGAAGGUCUUCUGAUCGUAAAACUCUGUUAUUAGGGAAGAACAAACGUGUAAGUAACUGUGCACGUCUUGACGGUACCUAAUCAGAAAGCCACGGCUAACUACGUG